GCGGGAUGGAGCAGUCUGGUAGCUCGUCAGAGUCAUAAUCUGAAGGUCGUGGGUUCAAAUCCUACUCUCCGCA
rnacentral:tRNA from 1 species